rnacentral:rRNA from 1 species
GACGAACCGAGCGAACGUUGUUCGGAAUUACUGGGCGGAAAGGGUGCAUAGGUGGCCUUGUUAGUCAGACGUGAAAUCCCCAAGCUUAACCUGGGAACUGCGUCUGAUACUGGGAGGCUUGAGUAUGGGAGAGGGAUGUAGAAUUCCAGGUGUAGCGGUGAAAUGCGUAGAUAUCUGGAGGAAUACCGGUGGCGAAGGCGGCAUCCUGGACCAUUACUGACGCUGAAUCGCGAAAGCUAGGGGAGCAAACGGG